CCGAGGUGCCGGCUCUGCUCCGGCUUCCCGCAGCGCGGAAGACGCUCGGUCGGGUUGGGUCUACCGGGAUCACAGCGUCCUGCAGAGGCGCAGGAGCAGAAGUCCCAGUGCGCGCGCAGCCGCACAGAGCGCCGCCGCCGGGGGUCAGAAAACAGCCCAGCGGGCACUUCCGCCCUCCGAACCAGAGCGAACCGCAGCGCCCGUAGCCCACCGUAAGUCCAGUCACCCUCGGCGCCCGGAGAUGACGUCACCCGCCCACGUGGCCAGCGCCCCGCCCUCUGAGUUCCGCCCAACCGGGCAAGACCCGAGCUGCUCCUGAGCGUGCGCAGAGACAAGGAGCGCCUGAGCUCGCAUUGAGUCCGCUGGUUUCCUUCUUGGACCAACAGAACGCGUACGUUGGUGUUCCCGGUUGUCAGUUGUAGAAGAACAGAGAAAUAAAGGACCCUGAGACGUCCGCUGCCGCGGUAGCGGCAUUUUUCUCUUCCUCACAAAACAGUAUUGUAAAAACCUUACUGUUAAGAGUGAUUGGGGUGGUUUGGUUGGGCUAGAGUCAGGACAGAGGUGUCAAGCUGCAACUACAGCAGAUCUGGGACUUAAGGAGUUUGUCUCGGGCUGCUCAGCCUCCCAAGUGCGAGAACUGCAGACGCGAGCCACCACACCUGGCUUUCAAGGAACUUUUCGGUUUCAUGAGGUCCCAUUCACUAACUGGUGUUCUCAGUGUUUGCCCCGUCUGUGUUCUACUCAGUCAUCUCCUACGGCAAUGCACCCAAGCUUAGUCACCACUUUCUCCUCUGUCAGGUCCGGUGUAUCCGGUUUUCUGUUGAGAUCUUCGAUGCACUUGCACUUGAGUUCUGCAGGAUGAUGAGUGUCUCAGUUCUCCAGAUAAAACUUCAAGUACUGUAUUAAAUGGAUAUGAAGAGAACAAACAGCCUUGCUUUGUUCCUGAUUUUAGUGGAGUUUCUUAAAGUUUCUAUCCAUUUUUGGAAAAUAAUUUGAGGAGUAUUGGCAUUAACUCUUCUUUGUGCUCUGGGCUUGUUUUGGUUGAUUUUGAUGACUGCUCUUCAGUAGGAAUUAUAAGUCUGUUUCAAAUGUUUACCUUAUUGUCUUAGUCAAAGUUUGUAUUUCUGCACCAAACAUCAUAACUUGGCCUUCUCCCUUGCAGUUUUAAUAUUUUUUCAGUAUGUUUUGUGUUUUUAUUAUUAUAUGCUGAAAGGACUCUCUAUUUUGGUUUGAUCUAUUUCGUGUUCUGUAUGCUUCUUGUAUGCAUCUUCUUCUCUAGGUUGUAAAAUUUUUCUUCUAUGAUUUUGUUCAAUAUAUUUUCUGAAACUUCAAACUGCUUUCUGUCUUAUUAUGAGGCUUCCAGGACCCACAUGCAAUUUAAAUAAGACACAGAGACGUCUAUGUAGUUUAAAGCUGUUGGCCUUGUCCUAGGUCAAUCUCUCAGCUAGCUCAUCUAAAUUUAUCCUAACUUCUCUGCCUCCUGUCUCCUCAUGUGAUUCUCACUAUCUGCUCUCUCCAUUCUGCUUCUUUCUGUGUCUCCGUCCAUCUGUGCAUCUCUUUGAGUCUCCUGCAUCUCCUUCCCUCUCUACCUAGGAGUCCCUCCCUAGAUCCAGCUCCAGGUUUGGCCAUCAGCUCUUUAUUAUACAAAAAGCAUAGUCCAGCCUUUACCAAUCAGCAGCAAGAUGAUCUGGUCCAUCUCUUAGGGUGGCCCUUAGGCAAUGAGGCCCAUCUGACCUUCAUCUUUGGGCAGGUGAGGAAGGGCAAGCAUUUCCAUAUAGAAAACCAGUGAUGGGCUAGAAAUGACAGUACCAAGAUCCUGUUAGGUUUUACAAUUAACAAUUGAAAAAUACAGGGACAUACCUUCAAAGGGAAGAUCACCCCGACAUCUUCCCCUUUGUCUUAGCGUUUUUCAUUGCUGUGAGCAGAUACCAAUGACCAGGGAAAUUCUUAUUAAGGACAACAUUUAAUUGGGGCUGGCUUACAGGUUCUGAGGUUCAGUCCAUUAUCAUCAUGAUAGGAAGCAGUGUCCAGGGAGGCCUGGUCCUGAAGGAGCUGAGAGUUCUACAUCUUGUUCCAAAGGCAAACAGGACACGGCUUCUUUCUAUAAACUGAGGUUGCUGUUGGGGUAUUUGUUGCUACUACCGCCCCAAAUUACUGCAAGCUGUUUACCAAUCUUCACAGAUGACAUAAUUUUAUCAUUGAUAUACAGUAUUUUAAUCCCUACUGGGUCUGUUCCUGAUAAUUGACAAAGUCUUAAUCUUCCUUUUACAAUCAAGUCAGGACCUUUUACAUAGGUCUCAAUUUUUUUACUCUGUUUAUAUGCUAAAAAUAUCCAUUCUAAGACAAUAAUCUUUCCUCUGCAUAAGAAUUCCUGUGGGAGAAUGAGUAGAAGGCAAAAUAACUAAAAUCCCAUCAAUCUUUGGAUCCAAGCACUCCAUGUGUGCUUCCGGUAAUCUCUUUUCUACCAGAGCCAAUUUUCUCUCAGUUUUUACUGAUAAUUUUCCCAGACUAUUUAAUUCUGACUCACCUUGUAAGAUUUGAAAUAAAUUACUUAGCUCUUGAAUAGUUAAUCCGGUUUUAACCGAUAGCCAGUUAAUAUCUCCCAGCCAUUUUUGAAAAUCAUUAUGAGUUUGUAAUUGAUCUAUUAUUAUGUAUAUUUUCUGUGGAUGAAUUUUCUGUAAACCUAUCUUAUAUCCUAGAUAAUUAGUAGAAUCUUCUCUUUGUAUUUUUUUCAGGAGAAAUUCAUAUUCCCCAACAAGGCAAACUUAUCCUUCCUUCAUCAAAUAUUUCCCUGAGGAAUCUGAAUCAGCCAGUAAUAUAUUAUCCAUAUAAUGAUAAAUUAUAGAUUCAGGAAAUUGUUCAUGGGUAUGAACAUUGUUCAUUCUAAUGGCUGUUGUACAAAUAUUGACAUAAGGGAACUUGGACGGUUGGGAAAACAAUGAUCCAGAGAGGCAUUGCCAUCCAUACGAUUCUGACAACAAGUUCACUGUGCUGUGUCCAGAGGCGAUGAGAAAGAAGUGAUGUGUCUCCACUUGAAGAGUCAUAUACAUGACAAGGAUAACAGACAACGGUCAGGGGCUUGGAAGCAAAGGAUGAGGGGCCAUGAGACAUCUCGGAUGCACCCAGGAAAAUGUGACUCUGAUUCCUUGAAGCACUGCUUAUUGAAGCACGGUGUUGUAAGGACUUCCUAACAGAUAUAUUUACACGGAGUGCCUUGCAGUAUACCAGAGUCCCAAAACGACAAGAAGAUUAGGGGUGGUCCAUGUGCUGAGCCACCUAAAGGAUCCUUCCAUUUGACCAUAUUGAAAGAGGAUUGUGUAUGAGGAUGCCAAAAUCUAUCUUCAGCAGAUCUGCCGUCCUUGUCUAAUGGGAAAAAUGUAAUCCCUUGAGGAUUAUAAGAAUUCCCUGUUUCACGAGUUAUGUUAAAUUGUGACCAAAACUUCAUAAAUGACUUUCUAAGUCUAACUCAUCUUCAUCUGGGAAUUCGGCCAGAGAAGGGAGAGGAGGCACAGGGGCAGCUGCAGAUGGUUGCUCCCCAGCACCCUGCGUUCUUCAAUGUCCUCAACUACUACUCAGCUUGUGUAAUUUUUGAGACUCAUGGCCAGGAUCUAAAUCAUCCCUGAUUAAAGCCCACAAAGGAAAAGUAAGUACUGGGACCUUUUCAGGUCCAGGAACAGUGCAAUAAUCUGCUAAGCAUUUUCCAAUUUUCCCCCAAGUUUUCAUAUUUACCGUUCCUUGCUCUAGGAACCAAGGACAAACUUCCUCAAUAAACUUUAAAGAUCUCAUCAACAGUGAGAACUCACCUCAGCCCCUUGUGUCUUUAACUUGCCUUUAAGCAUUUGGACAAGCAACAGCCCACUGCUAGACAGUCCCAUUGCACAGCAUGCUGACUCUCUCUCUCUCUCUCUCUCUCUCUCUCUCUCUCUCUCUCUCUCUUCUCUCUCUCUCUGUUUUAAUUGAGCACUCCUCGGCAGUGGCCCUCACUGAAUCCCCAAGCUGUACCCAGCCUGCAGGUACAAGUCAACCUAGAACAGGAAUGGGGGAGUGAGGAUGAAAAGAGAGACACAAGGAAUGGACUCAAGCCUGAUCCUGGACAAGACUCAGUUUAGUACUGUUGGUCCAGCUUAUAAGCACUCCAGCAAACAAAGCUCUUCCUGAGAAAGAUCCUUUAAAGACUCAGUGUAGAUGAGAGUUCUCUUGACUGCACACACUGCUCUCUGACCUUGAGUGCACACACUGCUCUCUGACCUUGAGUGCACACACUGCUCUCUGACCUUCACUGCACACACUGCUCUCUGACCUUCA
rnacentral:sRNA from 1 species